rfam:Schistosoma mansoni strain Puerto Rico chromosome W, complete genome
AGCUUUCUGAAUUCGUGCUCAGACUUCGUCAGACACCAACAUACUAGGGGUGACGAGACUUCCAAUAUAAGUGAAGUG